GCGGCAGGCCUAACACAUGCAAGUCGAACGGUAGCACAGAGAGCUUGCUCUCGGGUGACGAGUGGCGGACGGGUGAGUAAUGUCUGGGAAACUGCCCGAUGGAGGGGGAUAACUACUGGAAACGGUAGCUAAUACCGCAUAACGUCGCAAGACCAAAGUGGGGGACCUUCGGGCCUCACACCAUCGGAUGUGCCCAGAUGGGAUUAGCUAGUAGGUGGGGUAAUGGCUCACCUAGGCGACGAUCCCUAGCUGGUCUGAGAGGAUGACCAGCCACACUGGAACUGAGACACGGUCCAGACUCCUACGGGAGGCAGCAGUGGGGAAUAUUGCACAAUGGGCGCAAGCCUGAUGCAGCCAUGCCGCGUGUAUGAAGAAGGCCUUCGGGUUGUAAAGUACUUUCAGUGGGGAGGAAGGCGGUGAAGUUAAUAGCUUCACCGAUUGACGUUACCCGCAGAAGAAGCACCGGCUAACUCCG
rnacentral:rRNA from 1 species